rnacentral:rRNA from 2 species
CUGCUCCUAGUACGAGAGGACCGGAGUGGACGCAUCACUGGUGUUCGGGUUGUCAUGCCAAUGGCACUGCCCGGUAGCUAAAUGCGGAAGAGAUAAGUGCUGAAAGCAUCUAAGCACGAAACUUGCCCCGAGAUGAGUUCUCCCUGAGACUUUAAGUCUCCUGAAGGAACGUUGAAGACGACGACGUUGAUAGGCCGGGUGUGUAAGCGCAGCGAUGCGUUGAGCUAACCGGUACUAAUGAACCGUGAGGCUUAACCUU